rnacentral:rRNA from 1 species
UACGUAGGGUGCAAGCGUUGUCCGGAAUUAUUGGGCGUAAAGAGCUCGUAGGCGGUCUGUUGCGUCCGCUGUGAAAACUCGGGGCUUAACCCCGAGCCUGCAGUGGAUACGGGCAGACUAGAGGUAGGUAGGGGAGAAUGGAAUUCCCGGUGUAGCGGUGAAAUGCGCAGAUAUCGGGAGGAACACCAGUGGCGAAGGCGGCUCACUGGCCCGGUACUGACGCUGAGGUGCGAAAGCGUGGGGAGCAAACAGG